UACAGAGGUCCCAAGCGUUGUUCGGAUUCACUGGGCGUAAAGGGUGCGUAGGCGGUCGGGUAAGUCUGAUGUGAAAUCUCACAGCUUAACUGUGAAACUGCAUUGGAUACUAUUCGGCUUGAGAGUUGGAGGGGGGACUGGAAUUCUUGGUGUAGCAGUGAAAUGCGUAGAUAUCGGGAGGAACACCGGUGGCGAAGGCGGUUCUCUGGGCCUGUACUGACGCUGAGGAGCGAAAGCGUGGGGAGCAAACAGG
rnacentral:rRNA from 1 species